GAUGAACGCUAGCUACAGGCUUAACACAUGCAAGUCGAGGGGCAUCACAGUGUAGCAAUACACGGGUGGCGACCGGCGCACGGGUGCGUAACACGUAUCCAAUCUGCCCGUUACUCGGGGAUAGCCUUCUGAAAGGAAGAUUAAUACCCGAUGGCAUAUAUUUCCGGCAUCGGAGAUACAUUAAAGAUUAAUCGGUAACGGAUGAGGAUGCGUACGAUUAGCUGGUUGGCGGGGUAACGGCCCACCAAGGCGACGAUCGUUAGGGGUUCUGAGAGGAAGGUCCCCCACACUGGAACUGAGACACGGUCCAGACUCCUACGGGAGGCAGCAGUGAGGAAUAUUGGUCAAUGGGCGCGAGCCUGAACCAGCCAAGUAGCGUGAAGGAUGACUGCCCUACGGGUUGUAAACUUCUUUUGUUUGGGAAUAAAUGAUACUACGUGUAGUAUUUUGCAUGUACCUUACGAAUAAGCAUCGGCUAAUUCCGUGCCAGCCGCCGCCGUAACAC
rnacentral:rRNA from 1 species